GAUGAACGCUAGCGGCAGGCCUAACACAUGCAAGUCGAGGGGUAGAAGGAGCUUGCUCCUUUGAGACCGGCGCACGGGUGCGUAACGCGUAUGCAAUCUACCUUUUACAGAGGGAUAGCCCAGAGAAAUUUGGAUUAAUACCUCAUAGUAUAUAUCAUUCGCAUGUUUGGUAUAUUAAAGCUCCAACGGUAAAAGAUGAGCAUGCGUCCCAUUAGUUAGUUGGUAAGGUAACGGCUUACCAAGACGAUGAUGGGUAGGGGUCCUGAGAGGGAGAUCCCCCACACUGGUACUGAGACACGGUCCAGACUCCUACGGGAGGCAGCAGUGAGGAAUAUUGGUCAAUGGACGCAAGUCUGAACCAGCCAUGCCGCGUGCAGGAAGACGGUCCUAUGGAUUGUAAACUGCUUUUGUACGGGAAGAAACACUCCUACGUGUAGGAGCCUGACGGUACCGUAAGAAUAAGGAUCGCCUAACUCCGUGCCAGCCGCCGCAGUAACAC
rnacentral:rRNA from 1 species